rnacentral:rRNA from 1 species
UAGGGAAUCUUCGGCAAUGGACGAAAGUCUGACCGAGCAACGCCGCGUGAGUGAAGAAGGUUUUCGGAUCGUAAAACUCUGUUGUUAGAGAAGAACAAGGACGUUAGUAACUGAACGUCCCCUGACGGUAUCUAACCAGAAAGCCACGGCUAACUACGUGCCAGCAGCCGCGGUAAUACGUAGGUGGCAAGCGUUGUCCGGAUUUAUUGGGCGUAAAGCGAGCGCAGGCGGUUUCUUAAGUCUGAUGUGAAAGCCCCCGGCUCAACCGGGGAGGGUCAUUGGAAACUGGGAGACUUGAGUGCAGAAGAGGAGAGUGGAAUUCCAUGUGUAGCGGUGAAAUGCGUAGCUAUAUGGAGGAACACCAGUGGCGAAGGCGGCUCUCUGGUCUGUAACUGACGCUGAGGCUCGAAAGCGUGGGGAGCAAACAAG